UAGUAUAGAAUAGAGAAAAUAUAUCCACCGUCCGAUUAAGUGGAUCGAACGGAUACCUUUUAUCCAGAAAACUAUUAAUUAAAUCGAAUAACAUUUAAAAUAAAUCUUUUAAAAUUCUGGAAGGGGUAAAUGGGAAUUUACCAAGAAGUUAAAUAUGGAAGAUUCGAUGGCUUCCGGAAAUCUCUCCACUUCCUAUUCGGAAAAAAUCGAAGCGAUUAGGGCUUAGGAAUUCAAAACAAACCAAUAUUCUGCAGUUUUUACAAGAAGGUUGAAGAAAAUCUAGAUUUUGGGGUUCCGAUACACUUUCUGUUUGAAAAAAUCGGUGGAAAUUAGGGCUUUGGGGGUCCGAAUCGAAAAAUUCUUCAGAUUGUCGAAGAAGGCUGAAGAACGACGACAUUUUCUGAGAAGGUUGAAGAACGACGAUCAGCUGGUGUAGAAGAUGACGUUGGAGAAAGGAAAGCAAAAGUGUUUACAAGUACGUUCAUCACCAAGGAAAAAGGGGGAAAAAGGAGAGGGCUCGACUACAAAUACUGAUGAUAGUAUAACAAUGCUUAUGCUUUGUACCUAGCUUAUAUGUUAUUCAAAAGUUUUAAUGUCUAUGUUCAAUUACUUUCAAUUACUUAUUCAAAUUCGGUGUUGACCAAUUUAUAAAUUUUAUACCAAUCAUUUCAACUAA